UACGAAGGGGGCUAGCGUUGCUCGGAAUCACUGGGCGUAAAGGGUGCGUAGGCGGGUCUUUUAAGUCGGGGGUGAAAUCCUGGAGCUCAACUCCAGAACUGCCUCGAUACUGGAAGACUUGAGUCCGGGAGAGGUGAGUGGAACUGCGAGUGUAGAGGUGAAAUUCGUAGAUAUCGCAAGAACACCAGUGGCGAAGGCGGCUCACUGGCCCGGUACUGACGCUGAGGUGCGAAAGCGUGGGGAGCAAACAGG
rnacentral:rRNA from 1 species